CAUUGAUUGGCCCCAUUUAGUUCUGCUUUCAUUCACGCUCAUGUUCAGGUUCCGAGUCUCCCUUCGUACGUUUGUGCAGGCGGAUCAAUCAAUCAAUCGAUACGUCUCUCCAGCCUCGGCCCGCCUGAGUCGCUCACAAAUUCGCCGUUUGUUAGCAGAUACAAUGCGGACAAUGUAAGGCAAUUAUGAGGUGAAGUCAGCCAGUGUUCACAUCACCGGGCUGCUCUGCUCACACAAAGAGGACUAAAGUCAGCCAGAUCCCCCGCCUGUUGUUAGAGCUGCACCAGCAGUCUGUUUGAAGACGUGUGGCAGGACGGUGAUGAGAAGGCUUCUUCUUUUCCUUUGAUGGGUCUGCUGAGGACAGCCAGACAGACACAUCCUUCAAACAAGCCAUAUGGAAGUCUGCGGGUGAUAGAUGGGGAGCACAGUCCUGGUGUUUUUAGUAGACCUGAGGGUCUCAGAGAGAAAAGGAGAGAAGAGGGAGGCCUCUGGGAUGCAGAAUACCUCAAGGUCCCCACCACUGAAGCCGGGUGCUGCAACCCUGCAGCCCUGCAAUCUUCGCAAUCAGGCAGUAAUGCUGGCAGCGACUGUUUCAGAUUAUGCUCAGGAAAUCCUCUGUGCUCUCUGCUCAAAACAAUUUACCCUGACAUGAGCCCAAAGAGAGUGCAGGGGGUGGGGGGGACAAGAGAGCUGUCUUCACCAGAUUCCUGCUCUCAGGCCACCACAAUGCCAUAUUCUGGCCUACAAAUAAUCUGCUGUUUAUUAUUAUAAUAAUUACUAUUAUUAAGAUGGAAAUUGUAGUCAAAGAACCUACUAUUUAAGCUCUUAUAAUUAA